rnacentral:rRNA from 1 species
AGAGUUUGAUCAUGGCUCAGAACGAACGCUGGCGGCGCGCCUAAUACAUGCAAGUCGAGCGAGAAGGUGUAGCAAUACACUUGUAAAGCGGCGAACGGGUGAGGAAUACAUGGGUAACCUACCGUCGAGUGGGGAAUAACCAGCCGAAAGGCUGGCUAAUACCGCGUACGCUUCCGGAUCCUCGGGUUCGGAAGGAAAGCGAUACCGUGGGUAUCGCGCUCUUCGAUGGGCUCAUGUCCUAUCAGCUUGUUGGUAGGGUAACGGCCUACCAAGGCUUUGACGGGUAGCUGGUCUGAGAGGACGAUCAGCCACACUGGCACUGCGACACGGGCCAGACUCCUACGGGGGGCAGCAGUAAGGAAUAUUGCGCAAUGGGCGACAGCCUGACGCAGCGACGCCGCGUGGGGGAUGAAGGUCUUCGGAUUGUAAACCCCUUUCGGGAGGGAAGAUGGGGCGGGCAACCGCUCGGACGGUACCUCCAGAAGCAGCCACGGCCAACUUCGUGCCAGCAGCCGCGGUAAUACGAAGGUGGCAAGCGUUGUUCGGAUUCACUGGGCGUACAGGGUGUGUAGGCGGUUUGGUAAGCCUUUUGUGAAAGCUUCGGGCCUAACCCGGAAAGCGCAGAGGGGACUGCCAGGCUAGAGGACGGGAGAGGAGCGCGGAAUUCCCGGUGUAGCGGUGAAAUGCGUAGAGAUCGGGAGGAAGGCCGGUGGCGAAGGCGGCGCUCUGGAACGUAUCUGACGCUGAGACACGAAAGCGUGGGGAGCAAACAGGAUUAGAUACCCUGGUAGUCCACGCCCUAAACUAUGGAUACUAAGUGUCGGCGGGUUACCGCCGGUGCCGCAGCUAACGCAGUAAGUAUCCCGCCUGGGAAGUACGGCCGCAAGGUUGAAACUUAAAUGAAUUGACGG